rnacentral:lncRNA from 1 species
GAUACUAAACCCUAACCUGUCCUCUCCUCUCAAAUUCCCCUCUCCUCUCAAAUUUCUCACUAUCAAUUUCGAUCGAUUUCAAUAUCUUUGAACUACCACCGCACCACCGCACCACCUAUUGAGAAAGGCUCUUCAUCCUCGUUCAACACGCCUUCUUUCUAGUUCAAUAACCCCUACGGAUUUUAGGUUGAAAAGGAUUUGUUCUUAUGAAAUGGCUAUCUUAUCUGGUGCCCUGUUUCUUAAAGUUUCAUUUGUUGUUUAGCAUGGAAGGCAUUUGAAAUUGAUCCCUAUUCUGUCCAUGGCUUCCAUUGUUGAAUCUUCUUGGACACUACGGUCAUCUCACUUUUCCAUUGUGGGUCUAAGCAACAACUGCGUCUCGCAUGGCGGUUGUGUGGUCGUUGGUUGAUGAAAAUAAAGAUGGUGAGUGAAGCGAGUGAAGAGGGGAAUCAGACAAACGAAGAGCGCUUGCAUCGCUGCUGUGUUCUGCCAUGGCUUUCAGACUCAUGGAGCUCUUGUUCAUGUUCAAUGAGAACUCGCUGUUGACUUUCUUAUGAGAGAAAUCAACACAAAUUGCUUUUCUGUUGGGAUCUUUCACACUCUACUGACACUGGUUUUUUUACGGUCGAGAAUAAUAGCCAAAAAUUACUUUUAAAGGAAAUUAGAAAGUUAUGGGAAAAGCAAGAUGGGAAAUAGGAGAGUAUGAUGAGUCAAAUACACUUUUAGUGGACCCUAAGUCACACACGGCUCUACUUAAUCCCCCACAUACAACAAUCUUUCCUUACCCUUAUUGUCACUGGCAUAAAAAAGAUAAUUCUUUAGGGGAUGGUAAUUCCGACAACCUGGGGUAUUGAAAAAACCACCCAAUCUUUUGGCUGAAAAGCUUAAAGUGAUGUCAAAAGAAGUUGAGUAGUCAGUUGGCUAAUGUAGCAACAAUAAGUAGUAAGUGCUGGGAACUAUGAAAUGGAAGUAUGACUACUAAGAAAACGUUAACACGAUGAUUAUUUAACUCGCAUGAAGAUUGUGAAAGAGAUUCAUGAACACAAUGAAGUUUUGAGUUUUUAUUUAUACACUUGUUAGUUUAUUUGGGUUAUAUGUUUGAUCAUUAGAAUUAGAUCGACACUUAUAUGUAGGAUCGUUAUGCUGACCCGAAUGAGUCGUUCAGAGGAGUU